AACUUUCAGCAACGGAUCUCUUGGCUCUGGCAUCGAUGAAGAACGCAGCGAAAUGCGAUAAGUAAUGUGAAUUGCAGAAUUCAGUGAAUCAUCGAAUCUUUGAACGCACAUUGCGCCCACCAGCACUCUGGUGGGCAUGCCCGUCUGAGCGUCAUU
rnacentral:rRNA from 4 species